rnacentral:misc_RNA from 1 species
AAGACAGGUAAACACACAACUGAGAAACCCGUGUUAGCAAAGGUUACUCCUAGUCCAAAGAAUCCAAUUUCUCCUCCCGCUGCAGUUACCACAACCAACUUGUCCUCAAAGGAAUCUUGUCCAAGAUGCAAGCAGGGAUUCUUUUGUUCAGAUCAUGGCUCACUAGCCAAGCAAGCUUCGCCGGCUAAAAGUUAUGUGGGUACAGAAGGGUCCUCUGCACCGUCAAAGAAGGUAGUUGACAUAAACGAGCCCCAGACCUGCAGGAAUCGGGGGUGUGGUAAAACUUUUAAAGAAAAGGAUAAUCAUGAAGCUGCCUGUAGUUACCAUCCCGGGCCUGCUGUUUUUCAUGAUCGGUUGAG